UACGUAGGGUGCAAGCGUUAAUCGGAAUUACUGGGCGUAAAGCGUGCGUAGACGGCUAUUUAAGUCGGAUGUGAAAGCCCCGGGCUCAACCUGGGAAUUGCAUUCGAGACUGAAUAGCUAGGGUACGGUAGAGGGAAGUGGAAUUUCCGGUGUAGCGGUGAAAUGCGUAGAUAUCGGAAGGAACAUCAGUGGCGAAAAGCGACUUCCUGGACCAGUAC
rnacentral:rRNA from 1 species